GGGAGGCAGCAGUGGGGAAUAUUGGACAAUGGGCGAAAGCCUGAUCCAGCCAUGCCGCGUGUGUGAAGAAGGUCUUCGGAUUGUAAAGCACUUUAAGUUGGGAGGAAGGGCAGUUACCUAAUACGUGAUUGUUUUGACGUUACCGACAGAAUAAGCACCGGCUAACUCUGUGCCAGCAGCCGCGGUAAUA
rnacentral:rRNA from 1 species